rnacentral:rRNA from 1 species
UACGUAGGGGGCAAGCGUUGUCCGGAAUCAUUGGGCGUAAAGCGCGUGUAGGCGGCCCGGUAAGUCCGCUGUGAAAGUCCAGGGCUCAACCCUCGAAUGCCGGUGGAUACUGUCGGGCUAGAGUGCGGAAGAGGCGAGUGGAAUUCCUGGUGUAGCGGUGAAAUGCGCAGAUAUCAGGAGGAACACCUAUUGCGAAGGCAGCUCGCUGGGACGUUACUGACGCUGAGACGCGAAAGCGUGGGGAGCAAACAGG